GGGGAUGUGGCUUAGUGGUAGAGUGCUUGCCUAGCAUGCAUGAAGCCCUGGGUUUGAUUCCUCAGUAGUACCA
rfam:Dipodomys ordii contig_25643, whole genome shotgun sequence.